rnacentral:rRNA from 1 species
UACAGAGGGGGCGAAGCGUUAUUCGGAAUUAUUGGGCGUAAAGGGCGCGUAGGCGGCUUUGCAAGUGACGGGUGAAAGCCCUCGGCUUAACCGAGGAACUGCCUGUCAGACUGUGAGGCUUGAGACCGGGAGAGGUGAGUGGAAUUCCCAGUGUAGCGGUGAAAUGCGUAGAUAUUGGGAGGAACACCAGUGGCGAAGGCGGCUCACUGGACCGGAACUGACGCUGAGGCGCGAAAGCGUGGGGAGCAAACAGG